rnacentral:rRNA from 1 species
AGCGAACGCUGGCGGCAGGCCUAACACAUGCAAGUCGAACGAACUCUUCGGAGUUAGUGGCGGACGGGUGAGUAACACGUGGGAACGUGCCUUUUGGUUCGGAAUAACUCAGGGAAACUUGUGCUAAUACCGAAUGUGCCCUUCGGGGGAAAGAUUUAUCGCCAUUAGAGCGGCCCGCGCCUGAUUAGCUAGUUGGUGAGGUAACGGCUCACCAAGGCGACGAUCAGUAGCUGGUCUGAGAGGAUGACCAGCCACACUGGGACUGAGACACGGCCCAGACUCCUACGGGAGGCAGCAGUGGGGAAUCUUGCGCAAUGGGCGAAAGCCUGACGCAGCCAUGCCGCGUGAAUGAUGAAGGUCUUAGGAUUGUAAAAUUCUUUCACCGGGGACGAUAAUGACGGUACCCGGAGAAGAAGCCCCGGCUAACUUCGCG